rnacentral:tRNA from 1 species
GCACCCGUAGCUCAGUUGGAUAGAGCACCUGCCUUCUAAGCAGGGGGUCCCGUGUUCGAAUCACGGCGGGUGCG